CAGGCAAAUCCGGAAAAUCAAGGCUGAGGCGUGAUGACGAGGCACUACGGUGCUGAAGCAACAAAUGCCCUGCUUCCAGGAAAAGCCUCUAAGCAUCAGGUAACAUCAAAUCGUACCCCAAACCGACACAGGUGGUCAGGUAGAGAAUACCAAGGCGCUUGAGAGAACUCGGGUGAAGGAACUAGGCAAAAUGGUGCCGUAACUUCGGGAGAAGGCACGCUGAUAUGUAGGUGAAGUCCCUCGCGGAUGGAGCUGAAAUCAGUCGAAGAUACCAGCUGGCUGCAACUGUUUAUUAAAAACACAGCACUGUGCAAACACGAAAGUGGACGUAUACGGUGUGACGCCUGCCCGGUGCCGGAAGGUUAAUUGAUGGGGUCAGCGCAAGCGAAGCUCUUGAUCGAAGCCCCGGUAAACGGCGGCCGUAACUAUAACGGUCCUAAGGUAGCGAAAUUCCUUGUCGGGUAAGUUCCGACCUGCACGAAUGGCGUAAUGAUGGCCAGGCUGUCUCCACCCGAGACUCAGUGAAAUUGAACUCGCUGUGAAGAUGCAGUGUACCCGCGGCAAGACGGAAAGACCCCGUGAACCUUUACUAUAGCUUGACACUGAACAUUGAGCCUUGAUGUGUAGGAUAGGUGGGAGGCUUUGAAGUGUGGACGCCAGUCUGCAUGGAGCCGACCUUGAAAUACCACCCUUUAAUGUUUGAUGUUCUAACGUGGACCCGUGAUCCGGGUUGCGGACAGUGUCUGGUGGGUAGUUUGACUGGGGCGGUCUCCUCCUAAAGAGUAACGGAGGAGCACGAAGGUUGGCUAAUCCUGGUCGGACAUCAGGAGGUUAGUGCAAUGGCAUAAGCCAGCUUGACUGCGAGCGUGACGGCGCGAGCAGGUGCGAAAGCAGGUCAUAGUGAUCCGGUGGUUCUGAAUGGAAGGGCCAUCGCUCAACGGAUAAAAGGUACUCCGGGGAUAACAGGCUGAUACCGCCCAAGAGUUCAUAUCGACGGCGGUGUUUGGCACCUCGAUGUCGGCUCAUCACAUCCUGGGGCUGAAGUAGGUCCCAAGGGUAUGGCUGUUCGCCAUUUAAAGUGGUACGCGAGCUGGGUUUAGAACGUCGUGAGACAGUUCGGUCCCUAUCUGCCGUGGGCGCUGGAGAACUGAGGGGGGCUGCUCCUAGUACGAGAGGACCGGAGUGGACGCAUCACUGGUGUUCGGGUUGUCAUGCCAAUGGCACUGCCCGGUAGCUAAAUGCGGAAGAGAUAAGUGCUGAAAGCAUCUAAGCACGAAACUUGCCCCGAGAUGAGUUCUCCCUGACCCUUUAAGGGUCCUGAAGGAACGUUGAAGACGACGACGUUGAUAGGCCGGGUGUGUAAGCGCAGCGAUGCGUUGAGCUAACCGGUACUAAUGAACCGUGAGGCUUAACCUUACAACGCCGAAGGUGUUU
rnacentral:rRNA from 1 species